rnacentral:rRNA from 1 species
UACAGAGGGGGCAAGCGUUAUUCGGAAUUAUUGGGCGUAAAGGGCGCGUAGGCGGCUAUUCAAGUGGCGGGUGAAAUCCCUCGGCUUAACCGAGGAACUGCCUGCCAGACUGGAUGGCUUGAGACCGGGAGAGGUGAGUGGAAUUCCCAGUGUAGCGGUGAAAUGCGUAGAUAUUGGGAGGAACACCAGUGGCGAAGGCGGCUCACUGGACCGGUACUGACGCUGAGGCGCGAAAGCCAGGGGAGCAAACGGG